rnacentral:rRNA from 1 species
GACAGAGGUGCCGAGCGUUAGGCGGAAUCACUGGGCUUAAAGCGUGUGUAGGCGGGCCGUUAAGUAUCUUGUGAAAUCCCCCGGCUCAACCGGGGAAUGGCUGGAUAUACUGGCGGUCUUGAGCAAUCUAGGGGCAGAUGGAACAGACGGUGGAGCGGUGAAAUGCGUAGAUAUCGUCUGGAACGCCAAAGGUGAAGACAGUCUGCUGGGGAUUCGCUGACGCUGAGACACGAAAGCCAGGGGAGCGAACGGG